AGCAGCCGCGGUAAUUCCAGCUCCAAUAGCGUAUAUUAAAGUUGUUGCAGUUAAAAAGCUCGUAGUUGAAUUUCGGGAUCAAUUUGCCGGUCGAGACCUCUGGUACGUACUUGUAUUAUUGAUUUCUUUCAUUCUGAUAAAUCAUUGAUGUCAUUAAUUUGAUGACUUUGAGGAAUCGGAACUUUUACUUUGAAAAAAUUAGAGUGUUUAAAGCAGGCUUAUUAGGCUUGAAUACAUUAGCAUGGAAUAAUGAAAUAGGACGAUUGAUCCUAUUUUUGUUGGUUUCUAGGAUUGACGUAAUGAUUAAUAGGGAUAGUUGGGGGCAUUAGUAUUCAAUUGUCAGAGGUGAAAUUCUUGGAUUUAUUGAAGACUAACUACUGCGAAAGCAUUUGCCAAGGAUGUUUUCAUUAAUCAAGAACGAAAGUUAGGGGAUCGAAGACGAUCAGAUACCGUCGUAGUCUUAACCAUAAACUAUGCCGACUAGGGAUCGGAUGAUGUUAAUUUUUUUAAUGUACUCAUU
rnacentral:rRNA from 1 species